rnacentral:lncRNA from 1 species
AAACAUAUGUGGGGUGAGGUGUAUGAGCCUCUGGUCGAUGAUCAAUGGCCACACAACCCCCAUUUUUGUCGAAAAUAGCCAUGAACGACCAUUUUCAAUAAUACCGAAGGCUAACACGUACGAGUUUUUAACCAAGAAAUGGUUUCCACCAGAAAUCCAAGAAUGUAAUCUAUGGCAAGGAAACAUAUGUGGGGUGAGGUUUAUGAGCCUCUAGUCGAUGAUAAAUGGCCACACAACCCCCAUUUUUAUGAAAAUAGCCAUGGCGACCUGAAAAUAGCCAUGAGCGACCAUUUUCAAUAAUACUAGAGGCUAACACCUACGGAUUUUAGACCAAGAAAUGGUCUCCACCAGAAAUCCAAGAAUGUGAUCUAUGGCAAGGAAACAUAUGUGGGGUGAGGUGUAUGAGCGUCUGGUCGAUGAUCAAUGGCCACACAACCCCCAUUUUUGUCGAAAAUAGCCAUGAACGACCAUUUUCAAUAAUACCGAAGGCUAACACCUACGGAUUUUUGACCAAGAAAUGGUCUCCACCAGAAAUCCAAGAAUGUGAUCUAUGGCAAGGAAACAUAUGUGGGGUGAGGUGUAUGAGCCUCUGGUCGACGAUCAAUGGCCACACAACCCCAUUUUUGUCGAAAAUAGCCAUGAACGACCAUUUUCAAUGACACUGAAGGCUAACACCUACGGAUUUUUGACCAAGAAAUGGUCUCCACCAUAAAUCCAAGAAUGUGAUCUAUGGCAAGGAAACAUAUGUGUAGUGAGGUGUAUGAGCCUCUGGUCGAAGAUCAAUGGCCACACAACCCCCAUUUUUGUCGAAAAUAGCCAUGAAUGACCAUUUUCAAAAUACCAAAGGCUAACACGUACGGAUUUUUGACCAAGAAAUGGUCUCCACCAGAAAUCCAAGAAUGUGAUCUAUGGCAAGGAAACAUAUGUGGGGUGAGGUGUACGAGCCUCUGGUCGAUGAUCAAUGGCCACACAACCCCCAUUUUGCCGAAAAUAGCCAUGAACGACCAUUUUCAAUAAUACCGAAGGCUAACACGUACGAGUUUUUAACCAAGAAAUGGUCUCCACCAGAAAUCCAAGAAUGUGAUCUAUGGCAAGGAAACAUAUGUGGGGUGAGGUUUAUGAGCCUCUAGUCGAUGAUAAAUGGCCACACAACCCCCAUUUUUUAUGAAAAUAGCCAUGAGCGACCUUGAAAAUAGCCAUGAGCGACCAUUUUCAAUAAUACUAGAGGCUAACACCUACGGAUUUUAGACCAAGAAAUGGUCUCCACCAGAAAUCCAAGAAUGUGAUCUAUGGCAAGGAAACAUAUGUGGGGUGAGGUGUAUGAGCGUCUGGUCGAUGAUCAAUGGCCACACAACCCCCAUUUUUAUCGAAAAUAGCCAUGAACGACCAUUUUCAAUAAUACCUAAGGCUAACACCUACGGAUUUUUGACCAAGAAAUGGUCUCCACCAGAAAUCCAAGAAUGUGAUCUAUGGCAAGGAAACAUAUGUGGGGUGAGGUGUAUGAGCCUCUGGUCGACGAUCAAUGGCCACACAACCCUAUUUUUGUCGAAAAUAGCCAUGAACGACCAUUUUCAAUGACACUGAAGGCUAACACCUACGGAUUUUUGACCAAGAAAUGGUCUGUUGGGGACUUGUUCUCAAGUGCUAUGAGUUAAGAACAAGACAACAUAGAAAAUGUUAAUCGUUAAAGUCCUUCGCCCUCCGAAACAUUAUUUCCCCUAGGAUAUAAUGGUUUACGGACGAAGGUUAUGAAGGACGUACCUUCAUAAAUCCAUUAAUCAAUGACGAAGAAUAAAAUGUAAAGAAUAUAAAAGACGAUAUAAACAAUUAUAUAUUAUUAUUAGGCAUAAACAGAAAUGUCAUUGAAUUACAAGUGUACCUUCAAUCGGAAGAAGAUGACAGUACAAUCGUGACGCAAAAAGUGAAUGUCCAGUCAGCGUGAACAGUACAGGGGUACUGUUCACCUAUUUAUAGGCACGGGACACAGCCCAUACAAAAUUACAUUCAUGCCCUUUACAUUUGAUAAUAGUUCUAUAGUAAUCUAUCGAGGUUUAAAUAGCCUUUUCAUCUUUAAGUCGGUUUCAUUUUCUGUAACCACGCCGAAGCUUUCCUGCUAACAUCUUCGGCGUUGUAUCAAGACCUUCGUAUUAUCCUGGUCUUCUCUCUGCCGUGAUAUCGACUUGAGUCCGAAGGUACCUGCUCACACAUUAUACUUCCAGAAAUACUGUUAAAUUCUGUUUUUGAGGACCUUCGGAUGCCGAAGGUCCCCAACAGUAGCCCCUCGCAAUAUUAAUUUGUUUUAAAUAACGAAUUUAAAUUGCGACAUGGACGAAGGCUUUACACCGAAGGUCCAAAAAAACACCUUCCCUUUGCUAGAAUAGCAACAUUCACUGACAAGCGGGGUCUUUGAAUUUUCAACGCUCUUGGCGUAUAAAUACGGCCAUACCACAAACUCAUUUGUCACGCUUUCUGGCCAACUACUCCCGCUCACUCAAUUUUUAGCUCUUGUGCGCUGCGAUUUGCUAGGCUUUUAGUUUUUGAAUCUUCGGCUUUAAAAAUAGUUUUUUAGCGUCUCCGAAGAUGUCUGAAGAUAAGAAGACUGUUGCUGAGAUGAAGCUGAGCCUUGAUGAAGAGAAAAACUUGGGGUUUCUUAUAGCGAUGUCAAAGACGAAUACAGAAAAAAUUACCAAGGAGAUUCUGGAAGGUUUGUCUGAAGAUACUGGUGACAGUGACAGCUAUGAUGUGGACAGUGGUGGUGAGGACUCCGAAGAUCGGCCCUGGCGACCAAGCCAUUCAGUUUAUGGUAAAUCAACUAUCAAAGAGAAUCAUCUUGUCAACAUGAGAGGAAGGUAUUUCCGGGAUUUGUCCAUUGUGAGGGCCGACGAAGGGGAAAAAACUUGCCCACACCCUGAAGAGAAUGAAGUCGUAGUGUUCCGAAGCUUUUUGAAAGCUGGACUGCGAUUUCCUUUGAGCAGCUUCGUUGUGGAGGUUCUGAAAAUAUUUGAAGUCUAUCUCCAUCAACUUACCCCCGAGGCAAUUAUAAGGCUAAAUAUCUUCGUGUGGGCCGUGAGAAGCCAAGGUCUGAAGCCUGAUGCAAAAAGUUUCUGCAAUGUACACGAAUUAUCAUACGAAACAAAACCUUGGGGUAAGGAACAGUAUCACAAUAAUUUUGGCUGCUACAAUUUUGUUUCUCGGUCCGGGUCAAGCUGUCCCGUGCCAACCUUUCGGAAGAGAUGGCCAGGCGACUGGAUGACAGAAUGGUUUUAUGUGAAGAAUGAUCUGACAGCGCGAGAGGAUAUCAAAGGUGUAAUUAUGCGCCCUAUUUGGCAAAGCUUUGGCCUUCGGAGGCCGAAGGUUGAAAUGAGUGAGGCAGCUGAAGAAUGCCAGAGGGCCUUCGGCGUUAUCUGUUCUUUUAUUGGAACGAGGGACUUAGUACAAGAGCAUAUCGCCUUUAGGGUAUGGCCGCUUGCGGAGAAAUGGGAAAUGCCACAAGAAACCAUAAAAGAGGCCGACGAAGGUGGACUUAUCAGGUUGAAGUACACUUUUAAGUUUGGAGAUAAAUUCGUUGAGCCAGAUGAUGACUGGUUAAAAAGCAUUGAAAAUUUAAGUGAUGAGCUGCUUGGGACCUAUUCGAAGGCCGAAGACACUGCAAUGUCAGCAGCCUUCAGAGGCCGAAAAAAGAAGAGGCUGAAUCGGGUAUUUGAUGCAAUCGGGUUUGUCUACCCUGACUAUUGCUAUCCCAUUCGAAGGCAGAAGAGAAAAAACACAACCUCUGCAAAAGAAGAAGCUGCAACUGCUCCUAGCGAGCCAAAACCGAAAAGGAAGAAGAUAAAGGUCCUUACACAUCGGCCGCGCUAUAUUGAACCAGCUUCGGUGCCUGAGUUUACCGGAGAAACUUCUUCGGCCACCGAAGCUGAAAAACCAACCGAGCCAACUUUGCUGCCAGAAGUCGCAGAAAUGGCCGAAGUGCCACCAAAGAUAGAAUUGGAACAAUCAAAGAUUUUGUUAUCAGAAACGAAAGAGAAGGCCGAAGCACCGUCUACAGGAAAAAUGGAAGAGGUAAAAGAAGCAACUGAGGGCUCCAAAACAUCAGAAGUUUUGAGUCCUGCAGCAAACAUUGAGACAGUAAAAAAUCAAAAAGUGCCAGCAGUGACUCCGAAAAGAAAGAGAAUGGCUAAUGUGCUAGAUGUACUAGAAACGAUCAAAUCUUCAAGCACACCUCCGAAGAAGGCUGCUGUCAUUCCUGAAACAACAACUGAAAUUUCUGGUUCUGAAGCUCCAGAGCAAGAGACUGAAGCCGAAGCUGGGCCCUCAGAGCCCACAAAGAUAAAACCCUUGGAAAGUGAGACAGAAGAAAUAACAAAACCAACUUUUGUUGAAGAAACCGGUGUUAUUGCCCCCGAAGCAUCCCCCAAAGUUCGUGAUUAUAUUGUUCGUCAUGCUUCGGGGAAAAAGCUAUCAGAAAAAGAAGAGCAAGAGGCCCAGCACUACGCCCAAAAACUAAAAUAUCCAAAGGGGGCGUUAAUAUUCAAUGGCAGUGGAGAAGACUUCUUGUAUUGUCUUCCCGACAGCAAGGAGAUUUCUGUGUGUCGAGAGAUAAGCAAGAGCUUCGGAUUUCCAACUUUAGAAGACGGGCUCUCGGUGCUGUCGAAGAACGAUCUGGCCGACAGCCUAGCUUAUAAUAGCUUGAAGGUGCGACAAAUGAAAUCCUUGUAUUUUUGGCUUGUUUAAACCUAUUGACGCACACAUACUUCUUUUUGCAGGGCCUGAUACUUAGCAAUGCCCUCAGGGCACAGAAAGAUGCUGAAGACGAAGGUUGUACCAUAGCCCUGAGCAACCUUCGUUCCGAAGUAAUUGAACUGAGGAACGAAGGUCUUGAAAAAGAUAAAAUAUUAUACUCAUUGAUAAAUAAAAUAAAGGAAGACGAAGCUGCUUUUAAAGGUCAAGCUGAAGCUCAGAAGCGCGAAAUUGAAGAUCUUCGGAAACAACUGGCCAGAGCCAAGGAAGAACGCAUACUUGAAGAAACAAAGCGUGAACUCAGCGAUCAAUGGGCAGAUCACCUAGAAGUGACUGUUGAAGAGCUUCGUUCGUCCAAAAAGAGAUGUUAUAACAAAUCUAUAGAUUGUGUUAAGAAGCUAAAGGCUAGCUUCGCCAAGGUCGGCGCAUUUUCAAGUGAGGAAAACUUUUCGAGAGGCAAUCCCGAAGGUGUCAUCGAAUGGAUCGACCACGAAGCUGAAGCCUUCGAAGAAAUUUUAAAUAGCCGAGGAGAUAUAUGCGCCUUCUCUGGUGCCAGAGGAAUUGCCACCAUCUUAGAGAAAAAGGGCUGCGAACAUGUAAAAAUUUUAGCACAAUCCGAAGCUGCUUUGCCCUUUGAAGAUGCAAGAGAUCCUUCGGCUGAAGCUAGUAUAAUUGGUGGAAAAUUUUUUACCGAUAUCUGGGAUAAUGGUGGCCGAGAAAUGGCCGGAGAAAUUAUUCGAAGAAGUGAAAAGGGCAUUCACGAUGCUAGAGAAGUAGCUGAGGCUGUUGAAAAGAGCACAGAGGCCGAAGGUCAAUUAGGUAUUAACUAAUAGUUUUUAUCGUGUUGUAAUCUAAGGCUUUAAGAUUUGUUUGCGAUUUGUAAUAGCAAUGUAGCCGUAUGCUGUGUUACUUCAGAUCGUGCUAAAGCGUCUUCGGGCCCUCAGCCGAAAGGAGACGACGAAAUUAAAAGAAUGGCUGAAGAUAUUAUGGACGAAGUCGUCAAUCGGCUCCAGAACGAGGCUGCGGAAGUCGUUUUGAGAGAAGAUUAAGUAUUUUUGUGAAAACUUUCUGAAAUGUAAUAUACUGUAACAUUUUGUAACCCCAAAUGUAAUAUACCUAUUUUUGUUAGUCAAUUCUUCACGAUGCAUGAAACUUUAUACGUACCACUUUUGAGUCUUUGACGAAAAAACACCUUCCCUUCUUUUCAUGCUUCGUGAAGAAGAACUUUUCUUUGACACAACAAUAUCCACUGUUCUGAUGAUUAAUAUCCAGGCUUCGUGAAGAUAUUUUCCGAAGCUACACUUCCGAAGAUACACUUCCGAAGAUCAAUGAUGUAUCUUUUAGUGACUUUGAUUUCUCCCCUUUCUCAAAGCGUUCUUCUGUAGAUCAAUAAUGUUUCCACCUCUUGUGCCAUGUGCAAAAUGAUGUAUGAUGCUUAUGCUAUGCGAAAUGAUGCGAUGAUGUUAUGUUAUGUGAGAUGACGUUUAUUCCGAAGAUACAUACGCAUUCCUGCAAUAAAACACAAUCUUUUAUAAGCCUCCCUUAGGAGCCUCUUCGCCUUUUACUUCAGCGGAAUCAGCGUUUAUUUUUCGCUGUAAGCCUCCCUUAGGAGCUUCUUCGCCUUUUACUUUCAGCAGUAUUCGCGUUGACUUUUCGCGCUUCGCCUUUUACUUAGGCGGUAUCAGCGUUGACUUUUCGCUGUAUGCUCUGCAUUCCCUUUGGAACGACUUUGGAGCAGAAAACUUACACUGCGCUCCCUUUAGAACGACUUUUUGUGACUUCGGCAAACUUACUCUGCGUUCCUUAGAACGACUUUUUGUUGCUUCAAAGGAUUUUCGAUGGUUCGAAGGUCCUUUUUAUUAUCACAAGUCUUUGGACUUCAAUCAAUUUAAGCCUGUGGAGAAAACAUAUUUUUCUUGUAGGAAUCAACGAAACUAAUUACAUGAAACCUAAACAAUGUUCUUUAUUACAGAAGAUAAAACUGAAUGAAAAAGAUUGCUAUUAAGGUAGGAUAUUCGUCAAUAGAUGUGCUUUGACUCUGGCACAGUGCUAUUGACUGUACGAGCUUCGGACUGUUCUCUGAAAUCCCUCUGGUGUGGAGCAUACUGGCUCCCUUCUGGCUGCUGGCCUUGUUGCAACGGAGGUGGAGGCGGAGGCUGUUGCCAGGAAGCUUGAGGCUGACUUGCCGAAGCAACAGAAACUGCAGGAUGGUUGCCCACAUAUUCUGGGAUGUAGGGCGAAUGAUACGAAGCUGUAUGCAUGACCUGCUUCGGCUGAGCUUGUUGUGCUGCGGCUUCAGCUAUUUCCUUUUGCUUCUGAAUAGUAACAUGGCACAUCCUGGUAGUAUGGCCUUUGUUCUCACCGCAGAAUAAGCAAAAGAUUCUUCUCGGUUGAUCUCCAAACCUUCCUCCAAAGCCCCUGGCACCUCUGCCUCUUGGAGCUGGUGGUCGGAAGGAGCUUUGUUGUUGCCUCGAAGCCUAUGAGGAGCAUUGUGGCCUUUGCUGUUGGCUUCCUCUAUCAUCAUUUUGUGUAGAGUUAUGAAUUGACCUCACGUGCCUCGGGUAGAACCUCCCUCCGAAGCCCCUGGUCAUUUCAGAAAACCUGAAAGCCUCCUCCCUUCUUUGGCGAAAAUCAUUAUCGACCCGAAUGUACUCGUCCAUCUUCUGGAGCAGCUUCUCCAAAGUUUGAGGAGGCUUCCUGGCGAAGUACUGAGCUGACGGUCCUGGCCGAAGCCCCUUGAUCAUGGCCUCGAUGACAAUUUCAUUAGGCACCGUUGGUGCCUGUGCCCUCAAACGCAAGAACCUUCGGACAUACGCCUGAAGGUAUUCUUCGUGAUCCUGGGUACACUGGAACAGAGCCUAAGCAGUGACCGGCUUCGUCUGAAAUCCUUGAAAGCUAGUUAACAACAAGUCCUUCAGCUUCUGCCAUGAAGUAAUCGUUCCUGGUCGGAGGGAGGAAUACCAGGUUUGAGCAACACUUCUGACGGCCAUAACGAAAGAUUUGGCCAUGACUGAAGCAUUGCCACCAUACGAAGAUACUGUUGCUUCGUAGCUCAUCAAAAACUGCUUCGGGUCUGAGUGACCAUCGAAUACGGGAAGCUGAGGCGGCUUGUAGGACGGAGGCCAAGGUGUAGCCUGCAGCUCAGCGGACAGAGGAGAAGCAUCAUCAAAAACAAAAUUCCGAUGAUGGAAAUUGUCAUACCAGUCAUCUUCGUUGGGAAAACCCUCCUGAUGAAGGUCUUGGUGCUGAGGCCUUCGGUGUUGCUCAUCCUGAGCAAGAUGAUGAACUUCUUCAGAGGCUUCGUCUAUCUGCCUCUGCAGUUCAGCUAGCCUGGCCAUCUUUUCUUUCUUCCUCUGUACUUGUUGAUGAAGCAUUUCCAUAUCUCUGAUUUCUUGAUCUAUCUCGUCCUCUGGUGGUGUCGGACUGACAGCCUUCCUUUUCUGGCUUCGGGCCUCCCGCAGGGAAACUGUCUCCUGAUUGUGGUCCAGUGGUUGCAGAGCUGCAGCCCCAGUCGCUGAAGCUUUCUUCGGCGCCAUAACGAAGAUUUAUGAUCGCCGAAGGUGUUCAAAAAAACUUCAAAGAGUGGAAGUGAGUUCACCGGAGGUGGGCGCCAAUGUUGGGGACUUGUUCUCAAGUGCUAUGAGUUAAGAACAAGACAACAUAGAAAAUGUUAAUCGUUAAAGUCCUUCGCCCUCCGAAACAUUAUUUCCCCUAGGAUAUAAUGGUUUACGGACGAAGGUUAUGAAGGACGUACCUUCAUAAAUCCAUUAAUCAAUGACGAAGAAUAAAAUGUAAAGAAUAUAAAAGACGAUAUAAACAAUUAUAUAUUAUUAUUAGGCAUAAACAGAAAUGUCAUUGAAUUACAAGUGUACCUUCAAUCGGAAGAAGAUGACAGUACAAUCGUGACGCAAAAAGUGAAUGUCCAGUCAGCGUGAAUAGUACAGGGGUACUGUUCACCUAUUUAUAGGCACGGGACACAGCCCAUACAAAAUUACAUUCAUGCCCUUUACAUUUGAUAAUAGUUCUAUAGUAAUCUAUCGAGGUUUAAAUAUCCUUUUCAGCUUUAAGUCGGUUUCAUUUUCUGUAACCACGCCGAAGCUUUCCUGCUAACAUCUUCGGCGUUGUAUCAAGACCUUCGUAUUAUCCUGGUCUUCUCUCUGCCGUGAUACCGACUUGAGUCCGAAGGUACCUGCUCACACAUUAUACUUCCAGAAAUACUGUUAAAUUCUGUUUUUGAGGACCUUCGGAUGCCGAAGGUCCCCAACAUGGUCUCCACCAUAAAUCCAAGAAUGUGAUCUAUGGCAAGGAAACAUAUGUGUAGUGAGGUGUAUGAGCCUCUGGUCGAAGAUCAAUGGCCACACAACCCCCAUUUUUGUCGAAAAUAGCCAUGAAUGACCAUUUUCAAAAAUACCAAAGGCUAACACAUUCGGAUUUUUGCCCAAGAAAUGGUCUCCACCAGAAAUCCAAGAAUGUGAUCUAUGGCAAGGAAACAUAUGUGGGGUGAGGUGUACGAGCCUCUGGUCGAUGAUCAAUGGCCACAGAACCCCCAUUUUGCCGAAAAUAGCCAUGAACGACCAUUUUCAAUAAUACCGAAGGCUAACACGUACGAGUUUUUGACCAAGAAAUGGUCUCCACCAAAAAUCCAAGAAUGUGAUCUAUGGCAAGGAAACAUAUGUGGGGUGAGAUUUAUGAGCCUCUAGUCGAUGAUAAAUGGCCACACAACCCCAUUUUUUAUGAAAAUAGCCAUGAGCGACCAUUUCAAUAAUAUUAGAGGCUAAGACCUACGGAUUUUUGACCAAGAAAUGGUCUCCACCAGAAAUCCAAGAAUGUGAUCUAUGGCAAGGAAACAUAUGUGGGGUGAGGUGUAUGAGCCUCUGGUCGAUGAUCAAUGGCCACACAACCCCCAUUUUUGUCGAAAAUAGCCAUGAAUGACCAUUUACAAUAAUACCGAAGGCUAACACCUACGGAUUUUUGACCAAGAAAUGGUCUCCACCAGAAAUCCAAGAAUGUGAUCUAUGGCAAGGAAACAUAUGUGGGGUGAGGUGUAUGAGCCUCUGGUCGAUGAUCAAUGGCCACACAACCCCCAUUUUUGUCGAAAAUAGCCAUGAACGACCAUUUUCAAUAAUAUCGAAGGCUAACACCUAUGGAUUUUUGACCAAGAAAUGGUCUCCACCAGAAAUCCAAGAAUGUGAUCUACGACAAGGAAACAUAUGUGGGGUGAGGUGUAUGAGCCUCUGGUCGACGAUCAAUGGCCACACAACCCCCAUUUUGCCGAAAAUAGCCAUGAAUGACCAUUUUCAAUAAUACCGAAAGCUAACACGUACGAGUUUUUAACCAAGAAAUGGUUUCCACCAGAAAUCCAAGAAUGUAAUCUAUGGCAAGGAAACAUAUGUGGGGUGAGGUUUAUGAGCCUCUAGUCGAUGAUAAAUGGCCACACAACCCCCAUUUUUUAUGAAAAUAGCCAUGAGCGACCUUGAAAAUAGCCAUGAGCGACCAUUUCAAUAAUACUAGAGGCUAACACCUACGGAUUUUAGACCAAGAAAUGGUCUCCACCAGAAAUCCAAGAAUGUGAUCUAUGGCAAGGAAACAUAUGUGGGGUGAGGUGUAUGAGCGUCUGGUCGAUGAUCAAUGGCCACACAACCCCCAUUUUUGUCGAAAAUAGCCAUGAACGACCAUUUUCAAUAAUACCGAAGGCUAACACCUACGGAAUUUUGACCAAGAAAUGGUCUCCAGCAGAAAUCCAAGAAUGUGAUCUAUGGCAAGGAAACAUAUGUGGGGUGAGGUGUAUGAGCCUCUGGUCGACGAUCAAUGGCCACACAACCCCCAUUUUUGUCGAAAAUAGCCAUGAGCGACCUUGAAAAUAGCCAUGAGCGACCAUUUUCAAUAAUACUAGAGGCUAACACCUACGGAUU